GACGCUGAGUAAGAUACGACGUGAGUCGGCGCUUCCUUGGGGACGCGCGACUGGAGCAAACCGCAGGGUACCUUUGGUGCACGAUGAAUAAGUACGUCUUUCGCAUAAUGUAUCCCAGUCGUGUAAACAACGGUGCACUCUACACUCGUGGAAACGAUUACCAUGUACACAGGGUGUUCCUUGAGCGGGGACUCUGACUUUGGCGAGGUGUUCUAGUCGGUUGGUGGGUUCGAGGGUAGUUUGUUCGAGAGUUGCAACUUUUCAAAGUCACGUGUUGGAUAAGGGGAGAAAAAGACGUUCGAGGUAAUGGGAAGAAAGAAACAUCUCUCUUUUCGUUUGUAUUUUGGCAUACUGAUAGUAAAUAUAAUUUUCCUUUAUUACUGUCUGAAUUCGUCAAGCAUUUAAUUUACACUUUCCAGCAUAAAGCUUUGAAAAUCUGUAACUCGGAACCAAGGGAUCUUCGAACCUACGUUUACCUAUCGAAGAAUGCUCUGCCAAAGUUUGUCUUGUUUCGGAGCCCUCCCCCUAUAUUGUACAGAAGUCGAGUAAGUAAUCUGUGUAGUAUCGCGUCGAUAAUCGUGAACGGUGUUUAAUUAGCAGACGAAGGACGUCUCGAAAAUAGAGAGCUCUUCGAUCUAAAUGUGGGGAAGCGUGUCUACCAGUGAACACACCGCGGAGGAAUCUGCGUUACGUUUGAGAAACGUGAUUGCGCGAUGCACUCGCGCGAAACUUGGACUCUUGAUCGAUGUAAUUGCCGCCGUUCUAGAUGAAAAUAAUUUGUAACGGUCGUGAUUACCGGGAAAAUCGCUGGAGAUGGGUGGAACGCGCAAUACGCGUUAGGAACAACACUCUGAGAAAGAUAGUUCGUUUCGAGGGUGUUAUUCGGUUUGGAGUAACAGUAAUUUCCAGGACUAGUUCGUUAAACUUUCUUUUUUUUUUUUAUUUACUUUGUUUCAAGUCGUUGAUGUAUUAACUCUUUCAGACCUGAAGUAUUUUUAUUUCUCGUACUAAUAUAAUUGAAUUUUUGGAGCUAACUUGGACUAAAAUUAAUGUAGAAAACAUUUAAAAAAAUCCUAAUAGUGUAGUUGUCGAGGAGAACUGGUCUUUUUUCGUGUGGACAAAUAAGAAUAUUUUCGCUAAGUCAUAGGGUUCGUAAUUAUUUAAUGUUGUGUCUUCAAUUGUGGGUGCCAGGUCUGAAAGGGUUAACUAUCGCUUUGAGAGUAAAGUGUAACGAACUUGUGCCGAAGAUGAACUCGAAGAUGACACUCGAGAUCAAAGAAAAAUAUUUUAUUUCCUGCAAUCUCGGAUGUAAGACACUUUAACGUUGUUCAUCUCAAGAGGAAUAUUUCUACUGUCUAACAAUUAUUCUUUUUGUACUACGAAGAAGAUUAAUUUCUUUGAUCAAAAGUAACAAACUGCAAGAAAUACACUUUAAACUGAUUCGAAGCUGUAUCUCCUUCAACACCUAGAGCAAAAAGAUCGAAGUGCUUGGGACAACGAUGUCUCGACGCGAUUUCAAAGUGGAAAUAACUUUCGACACGGGAGUAUCUAGCUCGUGAAGGAGGGAAUCGGGCAAACAACAAAUGCCAUUGGCAAACGACAAUUGGAAUAUCGAGACGGUUGGAAAAUGACUCGUGACACACGAGAACGGUAAAGUCAUGGCUUCUCUGGAGUGUAAUUACGGAAAGUAGCUUUCCUCUUGAAUCGUUAACUGAGCUUAAAAUUAGUAAGUCGGAGUAGUUUACCAGUGACGCGAUCCUCGACCAAUCUGACGACGAAAGUUUCUUUCGAUCGAGUGCGAAAGAAUUCAUAUAUUUUCAAAAGGGUGAAGGAAAAAUCAUAUUCUCGAAGAUAUAAAAUAAUAUCGGGUCUGGUAACCUUCAUACGAGGUAAAAUUUAGGAGAUAUCGAUUUGGGGGAACGAGUAGAAUUAGAAGAUUAAUUUUAGGAGAAAAUUGAACCGAACGAGAAGAUAUUUAGGAUAGAGAGUAACGAUACGUCAAGGAAUGUCAGGAGAUGUAUCCUCAGGCCGGAGACCGCGAUCGAUCGGAAGCUCAUGGAAUUGAAUUUUCAGCGUUGCCAGCGGGUAGACACGGAUGUAUGGGUGAACUUCGAAUUUUCGCGGCAUCGAAAUGGGAAAUUUAUGUCGCCCGUGCGCGUCAACGGCUAUUUUAUUUCCCAGACAAACAGCAAUUGGUCGAAAAAAAGUAUCGCGAAUCGACGGGAGCUGGAAGUAACAAGUUUUCAAAAAAUACGUACUUCGUAGUUUGAUCUGAAGUUUAAAUACACAAAUUGUCGUGAAAAUUGACUAUCAUUUUGCCAUCAAAAUAUGUUAAUGUUAAUGUAUGUGUGGGAAGAUAGUAGCCCGAGUUUUAUGGAAAAUCCAGAGAGAAACUCUGCUCCAGCUCCGUACUAAAAAUGUACAUUUUACAUGUUCGAACUGUUCCUAGCGAGUUUCAAGCGAUCCAGUAUCGAGAAUUUCUUUGUUCACGCGUGUCGACUCGUUUAGUUCCUCGAAUAUUUCCAAUACCAUCCCGUCUCGUUCGAUUCUCCCUUUCCCCGAGGAAUUUUUACACGGAGAAGUCGCACAGCGUUCGCUAUCACUGGUAGACACGCGCUACUAACAAGUACAUACGUAAAUAUCACGUAAAUAUGUAGGCAUAAUCGUGUAUGGUGCUAACAAAAAAAACCAAAGUAAAUCAUUCCAUUUAAACGGCGAUAACUUCGCGAGGAGAGUGAUUGGUUCUAGCUGUAAAAAUCGCGAUCGGGUCGAAACUUUGCAGAAAUAACUCACGACAGUAUUAAGAAACUCGAACCGUUAUUUUUAUACGUUAUAUUUGUACGUUGGCCUCGAAUAUUUUAUUAUGUAAAAAGUGUACGUUGCACUUUGCUAAUGGCAUAGUACGAAGGAGCGUGUAUCGUGUUCGCAAAAGUGAAUUUUGUGGUUGAUGUUUCCAGAAGAGUUGUUAUUUUUUACUGCAAAUUUUUCUUCGUGUUGGAAGACAGAAAAUAUAACGUGACUGUAAUUAAUACGUAAAUGCAGUUGAAUUUUUUUUAUUUCUAUAAGAAUUUGCAAUAAUAUAUGGUCUAUUUUAACGUUUGAACGCUCCUCAAAAGGGACUAAACAAAUCCAUGAAAUUCAUUUCUUAACAAAGCAAUUAUUGGAGACGUUAGUUUAAGCGACUAUUAUAUACCAAUCAUCACGCAUAGUUGUAUUGUUAUUUAUUUAUUUCUGUGAUAGUUUUUUUAUAGUACAAAAGGUUCACAUUCCUUUUGAUCACCGAAAACUGUUGAGCAAUACCUAUUAGCGGUUGAUAGAAAUUGGCAGUGAAUAGUGAUAGGGGCAACUAGUAGUCACCAUCGACUGUGGCAGUACACACAGGAGAUCACUGUUAACCAAAGUUGACUAGUAAUAGUUGUCACAUAGUUGCCCUAAUUACCGCUAGUAGUUAAUAAGGCAUAUCGAAAUCCAUUAGUAGUCACUCUUAUCUACUAGUAACGGCUGGUAGCUACCAUUCGUUGCUACUAGGAUAUAUUUGUCACCAGCUAGUAAUACUAGCUACUACUAGAAGUCCACGGUGACUAGUACAAACUCUUAGGUGUCGUUAGUCGCUAUACUUAUUUAUUGAAAGUUAGUUAUAUAUUUAUUAAUAACUGUAACAUUAAAUUUAUUAUCGAAAGCAAACGGCGACUAAUCGCCAUGAGUACCAAAAGAUAACUACUACAUCUAAGUAUCGCGAGCCUAAAUGUAAUUUAAAAAAAAAAGAAUGUACCGAAUCUGAUAUUUCUUUGCGUGAGAAAAUUAAACCAAAAAUGAAAACUCGUACCUUUCGAACAUGACAUCAAGAUAAUAUAUAUAUUCUCGAGAUAACAAGUAGUCCUAUUUUAAUGAAACAUUGAAUACUAUUAACAAAAUGAACAAAUUUAGUGUUCGACGGAAAAUAUUCUCGUUGUCCUCGAACAAUUCGUUACGUUGCGACUGUCAUUUUUCUUUUCGUACUUAGAGUCUAUCGUGCACGUUACAUAGCGGUAAAUUGAAUAAUCAUUGUUUGCGAGGCGAUGUUUCUCUAAAGUUGCGACCCGGUGGAAAAUUAAGCGUAGCAUAAAUUAAUUGCGGUAAUUGCCACACGCGUAGAUUUUCAAAGCGUUGCCACCGCGAAGGAGCGCGCACCGUGGAAACAAUAUAAAACCUUUACGUGAAUAGACGAUAAUGAAUCUUGAACCAAACGCCAGGAAAUUUAUCAGCAUUUGCCGUGAUAAUUACACAGUGUUGCGCCAUUCGUUUAACCCUUCGUUUCCAGACACCAGGAUUGCUCCAAAAAUAUUUUUCGAAAAACAAUAGGGAACAAUAA